rnacentral:tRNA from 1 species
GGCCCCGUAGCUCAACUGGACAGAGCAUCUGACUUCGGAUCAGAGGGUUGAGGGUUCGAGCCCUUCCGGGGUCG